rnacentral:sRNA from 1 species
UCGAACAUUCCGAAUGGUGCAGUUAUCGC